rnacentral:tRNA from 1 species
GCGGGGGUGCCCGAGCCAGGACAAAGGGGGCGGACUCAAGAUCCGCUGGGUGUAGGCCCAUCCGGGGUUCAAAUCCCCGCCCCCGCA